rnacentral:rRNA from 1 species
UACGUAGGGUGCGAGCGUUGUCCGGAAUUAUUGGGCGUAAAGGGCUCGUAGGCGGUUUGUCGCGUCGGGAGUGAAAUCCACUGGCUUAACUGGUGGCUUGCUUUCGAUACGGGCAGACUGGAGGUAUGCAGGGGAGAACGGAAUUCCUGGUGUAGCGGUGAAAUGCGCAGAUAUCAGGAGGAACACCGGUGGCGAAGGCGGUUCUCUGGGCAUGUCCUGACGCUGAGGAGCGAAAGCAUGGGGAGCAAACAGG